UGCCUUGCGGAAGGACAGCCAAGUUGGGGCCAGUCUGACUUCUAGUGGGAGGGAGUUCCAAAGUCCGGAAGCGACAACUGUCCCAGGAUAUCGAAAUUUAGAGAUUCACAAAGUCUAAAGGUGAAUCUGCCACUGGGUGUUAGGAGAAUAAAUGCUAAGACCUCCUCUGUCCCUCUUCACUUUUCUCCCUUCCCACAACUUUUGGGGAAUAUCACAUAUUGCUCCUCCUUUCUCUUCUUGGGGGAGAUUUAUGCCCAUGCCCCAGACACCAUCACUUCGCCAGGUACCCAAAUUGCCAGUUACAACUCAGCUACUCAUUUAGAGUAAUGUUUUUGCUUGUUUUUGUUCCCUGGUAGUUCCUACCAAGCUAAGAUCAGGAGGGGAACUGCUUUUUAAGAGAUCUUACUCAUUUCUGGUUCGUAUCAAGGCCACCUGAUCAUUGGUCUUCUGCCUUCUUAGGACAGCCGGUUUACUCCAUUUGAGCUGUUUGUUCUUCUGUUUCACUUUUCCCGUCCUUAAAGAACUUGUGCAGGAGUAAACAAUCCAGUGCAUAAUUCUUAAAAAUGAUUCUUGCCUACCGAUCAACAGGUACACUUCAAAACCAUCCAGACAUCAUUCUGUUUUCUUAAAUUCAUCUUAGAACCGGUCACAACCAAGAAACACGAAAGGGGGACAUAGAGAGAGAGAGACUCUUUCUUUCACCAGAUCUUUAUUAACUGGGUUUUUUUUUUAUUCUCAUGGGAAUAAUUUCUGCCACAGAGGGUCUCCCCUGGUAACAGUUCCUAUGGAAACUGGAAGGGUCCUGCAUCAUCAGCAGGUGACUCAGAAGGGCCAGAUGACAUCCCAAGAGCCUAUGGACGAGAUCGGCCAGGAUAUUAAUUUGAGAGGCAACAGAAGACGAUUUUUUGCUAGAGCUCUCCUGCAACAGGUCUAUAGGUAUGUCUGUGAGAAGGCGGAUCAUCCAGUGAAUACGAACAGAGCGAGCUGAAUGUACAAACUGACAUCCUGAACCCCUACUCCAGGAGUGAGCAGAACUGCUGAUAUGCACACAGAGCACAACGGGAAGUAUAGUGGCAGAAGUUUAUGAGCAUAGAUUACAAAUUUUCAGAGAAGCAAUAGUAUGAUUAACACAGACAAUCAACUUUCGGAGUGCAGUUAAAUAAACACCACGGCUGUAUGUAGACUGAUUAUCUA
rnacentral:lncRNA from 1 species